rnacentral:lncRNA from 1 species
CUACCAUGUGCCUGUCCUCGAGGCCAAGCCAUCACACUACGGAACUCUUCCAUAGUCCACCUAUGCACUGGUGGCUGGUCAUAAAGUCCUAUGAUCAUCUCGGUAGUGGCCUCCUGUCCCCUGCAAAGGGACUCCAUCCUCGCCUCCAUCAUAGACAUGUACAUGUCUCUCAUCUGGAAGGGCUCUGGCUGCUGUGCUGGUGCAUCUGCAGGCUCAUCCACCUGUUGUGCUACUGCCCUCCUAGGACAUCUCCUAGGGACUGCUCCAGCUAGUUCAUCACCUCUACAAUACUAAUGAAAAUAGGAGGCAUUAAUAGCAUUCCUCGG